AUUGAACGCUGGCGGCAGGCCUAACACAUGCAAGUCGAACGAGUGGCGGACGGGUGAGUAAUGUCUGGGAAACUGCCUGAGGGAGGGGGAUAACUACUGGAAACGGUAGCUAAUCCUGCAUACCAUCAGAUGUGCCCCGAUGGGCUUAGCUAGUUGGUGGGGUAACGGCUCACCAGGGCGACGACCCCUAGCUGGUCUGAGAGGAUGACCAGCAACACUGGAACUGAGACGCGGCCCAGACUCCUACGGGAGGCAGCAGUGGGGAAUAUGGCACAAUGGGCGAAAGCCUGAUGGAGCCAUGCCGCGUGUAUGAAGAAGGCCUUCGGGUUGUAAAGUACUUUCAGCGGAGAAGCGGUACCCGCAGAAGAAGCACCGGCUAACUCCGUGCCAGCAGCCGCGGUAAUUC
rnacentral:rRNA from 1 species